AUGGUUUUUGUGUUUACAUACCACUUCCAAAAGCGCUGCUUUCACCUGUUUUUUUCUUGGACCGUGUGUUGAUGCGAGUUUGAACUUCCGUGUUUCAAUUAUCACCAGCCGUUGGCGAGGCGGUGCACGUCCCGGCAGAAAAGGCAGUAUCCGGAGGUGCUUCGGCAGGACAUAUAUCUGUGCUUCUUACCUGUGGAGCUAGGUGAAGCUGCUUGUUGAUAUGUUGUCCUCAUCGCCGGGCAGGGUGUGUUUCGGUUGCGGAUUCCAAGUUCAGCUCGGCAGGAAAUUCUGCGAGCAGUUUGUGUGCUCGACGUCGAGCCGUAGAUGCGGAUGAUAGAUGCAGAGCGGCCAGGCAAUCUGUGAGCAGUUUGAGGACUUUUGAACGGCGGGCAGUAUCUGGUGCUUCGGCAGGACAUAUACCUGGACUUGAGCUUCUUACCUAUACGAACAGGUGAAGCGGCGUGAUGGUAUUCUUUCUUCAACGACGACGAGCCAGACGUGCGGCAGUAAGCGACUCCAGGAGCGCCUUGUUCGGAAAAUCUGUGAGCAGUUUGGGAGCUUUGAAUGGGAUGGCAGUAUCUGUGGACGCUUCGGCAGGACAUAUACCGGAGCUUUUUACCUUUAAGAACUAUGUGUUGCGCGAAAUAAAUGUUUGUUGAAGAAUGGCGAGAUUGCGAUGAC